UACAGAGGGUGCGAGCGUUAAUCGGAAUUACUGGGCGUAAAGCGUGCGUAGACGGUAAUGUAAGUCAGAUGUGAAAAGCCCCGGGCUCAACCUGGGAACUGCAUUUGUGACUGUAGAGCUGGAGUACGGCAGAGGGGGAUGGAAUUCCGCGCGUAGCAGUGAAAUGCGUAGAUAUCGGAAGGAACACCUGUGGCGAAAGCGGCUCACUGGACCACUACUGACGCUGAGGCACGAAAGCUGGGGGGAGCAAACAGG
rnacentral:rRNA from 1 species